UGCAUAUCAAUAAGCGGAGGAAAAGAAACUAACAAGGAUUCCCCUAGUAACGGCGAGUGAAGAGGGAAGAGCCCAAGAUUGAAAGCUGGCGUCUUCGGCGUCCGCAUUGUAAUCUCAAGAAGUGUUUUCCGCUUCGGACCAAGCCUAAGUCCCUUGGAAAAGGGCAUCAUAGAGGGUGAUAAUCCCGUACAUGGCUUGGAGCGCCCGAAGCUUUGUGAUACGCUUUCUAAGAGUCGAGUUGUUUGGGAAUGCAGCUCAAAAUGGGUGGUAAAUGCCAUCUAAGGCUAAAUAUUGGGGAGAGACCGAUAGCGAACAAGUACAGUGAUGGAAAGAUGAAAAGAACUUUGAAAAGAGAGUUAAACAGUACGUGAAAUUGCCAAAAGGGAAGGGUAGGAGGUCAGAGAUGCGGCCUGGGAUUCAGCCUUGCUUUUGCUUGGUGUUUUUCCCAGAUUGCAGGCCAACGUCGGUUUUGGGCACUGGAGAAGGGUAGGAGGAACGUGGCACCUCUCGGGGUGUGUUAUAGCCUCCUACUGGAUACAGCGACCGAGACCGAGGACAGCAGCGUACUCGCAAGAGCGGGCCUUCGGGCACCUUUACGCUUAGGGCGUUGGCAUAAUGGCCCUCUACCACCCGUCUUGAAACACGGACCA
rnacentral:rRNA from 1 species